rnacentral:rRNA from 1 species
GACGUAGGGUGCAAGCGUUGUCCGGAAUUAUUGGGCGUAAAGAGUUCGUAGGCGGUUACUUAAGUCUGGUGUUAAAGCCCGAUGCUCAACGUCGGCAUGGCAUUGGAAACUGGGUAGCUAGAGUGUGUCAGAGGUUACGGGAAUUCCUGGCGUAGCGGUGAAAUGCGUAGAUAUCAGGAGGAACACCUGUGGCGAAAGCGCGUAACUGGGGCAUAACUGACGCUGAGGAACGAAAGCCAGGGUAUCCAAAGGG